ACACUUUGUACUGUGAAACUGCGAAUGGCUCAUUAAAUCAGUUAUAGUUUAUUUGAUUAUCAUUUACUACUUGGAUAACCGUGGUAAUUCUAGAGCUAAUACAUGCUAAAAAUCGCGACUUCUGGAAGCGAUGUAUUUAUUAGAUUCAAAACCAAUGCGGGCAACCGCUUUACUGGUGAUUCAUAGUAACUUUUCGAAUCGCAUGGCCUUGUGCUGGCGAUGUUUCAUUCAAAUUUCUGCCCCUAUCAACUUUCGAUGGUAGGAUAGAGGCCUACCCAUGGUGUUAACGGGUAACGGGGAAUUAGGGUUCGAUUCCGGAGAGGGAGCCUGAGAAACGGCUACCACAUCCAAGGAAGGCAGCAGGCGCGCAAAUUACCCAAUCCCGAUACGGGGAGGUAGUGACAAUAAAUAACAAUACAGGGCUUUCUAGUCUUGUAAUUGGAAUGAGUACAAUUUAAAUCCCUUAACGAGGAACAAUUGGAGGGCAAGUCUGGUGCCAGCAGCCGCGGUAAUUCCAGCUCCAAUAGCGUAUAUUAAAGUUGUUGCAGUUAAAAAGCUCGUAGUUGAAUUUUAGGCCUGGUUGGACGGUCUGCCUUAGGGUUUGUACUGUCCUGGCUGGGUCUUCCCUUCUGGUAAACUGUCGUGUCGUUUAUUCGGUGCGGCAGGGAACCAGGACUUUUACUUUGAAAAAAUUAGAGUGUUUAAAGCAGGCCUACGCCUGAAUACAUUAGCAUGGAAUAAUAAAAUAGGACUUUGGUUUUAUUUUGUUGGUUUCUAGGACCGAAGUAAUGAUUAAUAGGGAUAGUUGGGGGCAUUAGUAUUUAAUUGUCAGAGGUGAAAUUCUUGGAUUUAUGAAAGACUAACUUCUGCGAAAGCAUUUGCCAAGGAUGUUUUCAUUAAUCAAGAACGAAAGUUAGGGGAUCGAAGACGAUCAGAUACCGUCGUAGUCUUAACCAUAAACUAUGCCGACUAGGGAUCAGGCAAGGAUAUUUUGACUUGCUUGGCACCUUAUGAGAAAUCAAAGUUUGGUCCG
rnacentral:rRNA from 2 species